UGCGGUAUAAUCUCCUAAAAGUUUCGGUUCCGCUUUUCUCUCACACUUUUUGCGUGCUUCAUUCGCUUUCCGAUCUGCUCAGGAAAGUCUGAUUAUGCCGGAAACAAGAUCGACUCUUUGCUUUACAUCGGUUUUGCUUGAUUGUUUCUUCAUCGAAGUGUAAAACUUUGUUCGUGUUAUGUGAGCAGUGAGAACGAAGUAUCUACAUGCUAGAUUCAUCAAGAGAUUCAGAUAGUUGGGUGUUAUACAUGAAGAUUUGGGGUUGCUGGUCGUGUUCUGACGGUGCUCUGAAGAGUGUAUGCUUCAAGUAUCUGUGGAUUUCACUUACUCUGAUCAUUAAGCUCAAGUUGAUUCUUCAUCUGGAGAUAGCAAAAAGUGUUUAGUCAGUUUCGAAGGAUGAAGCUUUGGAGUCUGGAGCGAACAGCCAAAAACCAAAGCUUUCAGACAUAAGUCAAGAAACUUUUCAAGGCUUCAAGCGGCAGAGCGGUAGUCGGACACUUUCAAGCUAUGGCUACAAACCAUGGAUAGUGGAGGACAUGUGCUUAAUUUUUCAUCAUUAUCCUCUCUGUCUUUUAGGUUUACUUUGGGCUAAAUUGUAAUUUGGGCUUAGUCGAUCUUCGAUCCUGAUUCCUGACUUGUAAUCCGUUCACUGUGGCUUUUAUAAUAAGACGACAAAAAAAACUAAUAAGAGAACUCGAUAUACAUAAAAAUGUAAAACCUACAGAGACAAAAAAUUGAGUACACUUGGACACC
rnacentral:lncRNA from 1 species